rnacentral:rRNA from 1 species
AUUGAACGCUGGCGGCAGGCCUAACACAUGCAAGUCGAGCGGAUGAGUGGAGCUUGCUCCAUGAUUCAGCGGCGGACGGGUGAGUAAUGCCUAGGAAUCUGCCUGGUAGUGGGGGACAACGUUUCGAAAGGAACGCUAAUACCGCAUACGUCCUACGGGAGAAAGCAGGGGACCUUCGGGCCUUGCGCUAUCAGAUGAGCCUAGGUCGGAUUAGCUAGUAGGUGAGGUAAUGGCUCACCUAGGCGACGAUCCGUAACUGGUCUGAGAGGAUGAUCAGUCACACUGGAACUGAGACACGGUCCAGACUCCUACGGGAGGCAGCAGUGGGGAAUAUUGGACAAUGGGCGAAAGCCUGAUCCAGCCAUGCCGCGUGUGUGAAGAAGGUCUUCGGAUUGUAAAGCACUUUAAGUUGGGUAGGAAGGGCGAGUAAGUUAAUAACCUUGCUGUUUUGACGUUACCAACAGAAUAAG